AGUAAAUUAAAACCUCUAAAACCCUAAAACAACAGAGCUCAGCAGCUCCAUAGCCGCUGCAGCUUUACCAUCGCAUCAUAUAUCAGAAGAAAAAGUUUGAGUAAACCAAACUCAUCUCUACACGAAAACAAAGAACGCAGCCACAAACAGGUGAUAGAAAACAAAAAUGGUGCAAUAUAAUUUUAAGAAGAUAACUGUGGUACCAAAUGGAAAGGAUUUUGUUGAUAUCAUUCUUUCUCGGACCCAACGUCAAACACCUACUGUUGUCCACAAAGGUUAUGCAAUCACCCGUCUCCGUCAGUUUUACAUGAGAAAAGUGAAGUACACUCAGCAGAAUUUUCAUGAAAAGCUUUCCACCAUAAUUGAUGAGUUUCCUCGCCUUGGGGAUAUUCACCCUUUCUAUGGAGAUCUGCUUCAUGUGCUAUACAACAAGGACCAUUACAAGCUUGCACUUGGUCAGAUCAACACUGCUAGGAACCUUAUUGGUAAGAUUGCUAGAGAUUAUGUUAAGUUGUUGAAGUAUGGUGAUUCGUUGUACCGAUGCAAGUGUUUGAAAGUUGCUGCUCUUGGUCGUAUGUGUACUGUGUUGAAAAGGAUUGGGCCUAGUUUGGCUUAUUUGGAACAGGUUAGGCAGCAUAUGGCUAGGCUUCCUUCAAUUGAUCCGAACACUCGGACGAUUUUGAUUUGUGGGUAUCCGAAUGUUGGCAAGAGCUCUUUUAUUAAUAAGAUCACUAGAGCUGAUGUUGAUGUGCAGCCCUAUGCCUUUACCACUAAGUCUCUUUUUGUUGGUCAUACCGAUUAUAAGUAUCUGAGGUACCAAGUGAUUGAUACACCAGGGAUUUUGGAUAGGCCAUUUGAGGAUCGGAAUAUUAUUGAGAUGUGCAGUAUCACCGCUCUUGCUCAUUUGAGGGCUGCGAUAUUGUUCUUCUUGGACAUAUCCGGGUCUUGUGGGUACACUAUUGCUCAGCAGGCAGCUUUGUUUCAUAGCAUUAAGUCUUUGUUCUUGAACAAGCCUCUGAUAGUUGUUUGCAACAAGACUGAUUUGCAGCCGCUGGAUGGAUUGUCGGAAGAGGACAUGAAGUUGGUGACGGAGAUGAAAUCUGAAGCAUUGAAGACUGCAAUUGGUCAAGGCGGCGAGGGGACAGAGGCUGAUGUGUUGUUGACCAUGAGUGCCUUGACUGAAGAAGGCGUGAUUGCGGUGAAAAAUGCUGCUUGUGAGAGAUUGCUGAAUCAGAGGGUGGAGAUAAAGAUGAAGUCUAAGAAAAUCAAUGACUGUUUGAACAGGUUUCAUGUUGCAACUCCAAAACCACGUGACCAGAAGGAAAGGCCUGUGUGUAUUCCCCCAACAGUUUUGGAAGCUAAAGCUAAGCAAGCCGCUGCUGAGAAUGAGAAGAGAAAGACCGAGAAGGAUCUUGAGGAAGAAAAUGGAGGGGCAGGUGUAUACUCCAUGAACUUGAGAAAGCAUUAUAUCUUAGCCGAUGAUGAAUGGAAAGAAGAUAUACUGCCUGAGAUUUUGGAUGGCCAUAAUGUGUAUGAUUUUAUUGAUCCUGAUAUUCUACAUAGGGUUGAAGAGUUGGAAAGAGAGGAAGGGUUAAGGCAGGCAGAGGCUGAAGAUGCUGAUUUUGAGAUAGAUUGGACUGAAUUGACUCAGGAGCAGAAACUAGCUUUAGAUGAGAUUAGAAGGAAGAAAAGCUUGCUAAUCCAACAACAUAGGAUAAAAAAGAGCACUGCUGAGAGCCGACCAACCGUUGCAAGGAAAUUUGACAAGGACAGGCAGUACACAGCAGAAAGAAUGGGAAGGCAGCUGUCAUCUCUGGGGCUUGAUCCUUCUCUAGCUAUUAAAAGAAUGCGCAGCAGAUCUGUAUCUAGGCAAGGCCGGAAAAGGGAGAGAUCACCAAGUGUUGAUGGUAGAGGUGGGAUGGAUAUUGAUGGUGACACACCUAGCAAGAAGCAGCGUCUGAGUAGAUCACGUUCUAGGUCUGUCUCCCGCCCACCACAUGAAGUUGUGCCAGGAGAAGGUCUCAGGGAUUCUGCUCAGAAGAUCAAGGCAAUAAAACUUGCAAAGAAAUCUGUCAAGAAGAGAAACAAGGAUGCCCGCCGUGGAGAAGCUGAUAGAGUCAUUCCUAAUGUUAAACCCAAGCAUUUGUAUACUGGAAAACGCUCCAAUGGAAAAACCGAUAGACGAUAAAACAGGUAACCUGGGCUUGUUAUAUCCAAGCCAGUUUUUUUUAUUUUAUUCAGUGUGGUGAUUGACAAAUCUUGUGGCUACAAGAUCAAUUUCUGCAUAUCGACAUUGUUGGUCUUGCGAUUUCUUCUGAACUCGAAGUUUGUUUCGCCAAAUGUUAGUGAGGUUCCACUCUUGAAUCAUGGCUUAUCGGAAGCCCCAUCUUGAUGAUUUUAGUGAUGAAAAAAGUGAAUGAUAUAAUCUAUUUAAAUGCUGGGGAUGAUGAUGAUGAUGGCUUUGUGGUUGUCGAGAAUUUUGUUCUAUUUAUGUUUUCCUGGAGUUAAUGGCAUGGUGAUGGCUGCGAAGAAAUUUUCCUGUACACUCGCUUUUUAUAUCAUUCUUUAUAAAUGUUUUUUUUAGAUCUUUUUUGGACCCAUGGUAUGAAUUGUGGGAACUGCUUUUAUUUAGAUCAAUUUUGGACCCAUGUUAUGAAUUGUGGGGGCUGCUGUUUGGAUUUUGAGUUGUUUAUGUACUCGGAAAUAUUGGCAACUGUGGUUGUGUUUUUUGGAAGUUUGUUGUUUUGUUUCGAAUAUGAUGGCCGUUUCCCUUUAAUGUUUUAAUGUUCAAUAGCA